GACGAACGCUGGCGGCGUGCCUAAUACAUGCAAGUUGAGCGCUGAAGGUUGGUACUUGUACCAACUGGAUGAGCAGCGAACGGGUGAGUAACGCGUGGGGAAUCUGCCUUUGAGCGGGGGACAACAUUUGGAAACGAAUGCUAAUACCGCAUAAAAACUUUAAACACAAGUUUUAAGUUUGAAAGAUGCAAUUGCAUCACUCAAAGAUGAUCCCGCGUUGUAUUAGCUAGUUGGUGAGGUAAAGGCUCACCAAGGCGAUGAUACAUAGCCGACCUGAGAGGGUGAUCAGCCAGAUUGGGACUGAGACACGGCCCAAACUGCUACGGGAGGCAGCAGUAGGGAAUCGUCGGCAAUGGACGAAAGUCUGACCGAGCAACGCCGCGGGAGUGAAGAAGGUUUUCGGAUCGGAAAACUCUGUUGGUAGAGAAGAACGUUGGUGAGAGUGGAAAGCUCAUCAAGUGACGGUAACUACUCAGAAAGGGACGGCUAACUACGUG
rnacentral:rRNA from 1 species